rnacentral:rRNA from 1 species
AUCGAACGCUGGCGGCAUGCCUAACACAUGCAAGUCGAACGAGUGGCGGACGGGUGAGUAAUGUAUGAGCAACUGCCUGACGGAGGGGGAUAAGUGGUGGAAAACGUAGCUAAUACCGCAAACGCUCGGAUGGGGCGACAUGGGAUUAGCUAGUCGGUGGGGUAACGGCUCACAAAGGCGACGAUCCCUAGCUGGCCUGAGAGGCAGACCCGCCACACGGGAACUGAGAAACGGCCCAGACUCCUACGGGAGGCAGCAGUGGGGAAUCUUGGACAAUGGGCGAAAGCCUGACGCAGCCAGGCCGCGUGUGUGAAGAAGGCUUUCGGGUUGUAAAGCACUGUCGUUGGGGAGGCGUUACCCGCCGAGGAAGCACCGGCUAACUACGUGCCAGCCGCCGCGGUAAUAC